GACGAAUGCUGGCGGCGUGCCUAACACAUGCAAGUCGAGCGGAGUCAGUAAGAGGAAGUUUUCGGAUGGAAUCUUAUUGAUUUAGCGGCGGACGGGUGAGUAACGCGUGAGCGACCAACCUUGCACAGGGGGAUAACGGACCGAAAGGUUCACUAAUACCGCAUGAGACCAAGGUGUUGCAUGACACAGGGGUCAAAGGAGCAAUCCGGUGCAAGACGGGCUCGCGUCCGAUUAGGUAGUUGGAGGGGUAACGGCCCACCAAGCCUAUGAUCGGUAGCCGACCUGAGAGGGUGAUCGGCCACAUUGGAACUGAGAUACGGUCCAAACUCCUACGGGAGGCAGCAGUGGGGAAUAUUGGGCAAUGGGGGAAACCCUGACCCAGCAACGCCGCGUGAAGGAAGAAGGUUUUCGGAUUGUAAACUUCUGUCCUUGGUGAAGAGAAGAAGACGGUAGCCAAGGAGGAAGCCCCGGCUAACUACGUGCCAGCCGCCGCUGUAA
rnacentral:rRNA from 1 species